GGGGGUGUAGCUCAGCGGAAGAGCGCUGUCCUCACACGGCAGAUGUCACAGGUUCGAUCCCUGUCGCCCCCA
rnacentral:tRNA from 1 species